rnacentral:rRNA from 1 species
CAAUAGCGUAUAUUAAAGUUGUUGCAGUUAAAAAGCUCGUAGUUGGAUUUCUGGUUGAAGCGACCGGUCGGGCGUUGAUUCGUCUGCACUGGAGUCGGUUUUGGCCAUCCUCUAGGAAAGUGCGUCUGGUAUUAAGUUAUCGGGCGUAUGAUCCUGGUCUUUUACUGUGAAAAAAUUAGAGUGUUUAAAGCAGGCCUUCGCCUUGAAUACAUUAGCAUGGAAUAAUAAGAUAGGACUUUGGUCUAUUUUGUUGGUUUGCAGACCGAAGUAAUGAUUAAUAGGGAUAGUUGGGGGUAUUUAUAUUCCGAUGUCGGAGGUGAAAUUCUUAGAUUUUCGGAAGAUAAACUUAUGCGAAAGCAUUUACCAAGGAUGUUUUCAUUAA